rnacentral:lncRNA from 1 species
ACGUACUAGAAAAAAGUUAUGCCAUGUAGGACCACUUAAUAAGCAGCCCUGACGAAUCGGAGUGCGCCGCGUGGUAAGGCACGCUAACUUGGUGUCACGCGGGAGGCCACGUUGGCAAUCCGCGUGCCUAUGAUCGGACGACCCAGAAGUGUUCCCGUGCGUGUGGACGGUUCGGAUCUGUUCCUUCCUCAGGCACGAUCGGACGGCGGAUGAGCCGAAAACUGCUGGCAA